rnacentral:sRNA from 1 species
AUGCUAUUAUUCUAUCGUAUGUGAGAAGUCGGCCCAGAGAUGGAAAACUUUAUUCUGUAUGAGGAGAUCGGAAGAGGAAGCAAGAGUGUUGUGUAUAAAGGGCGACGGAAGGGAACAAUCAAUUUUGUAGCCAUUCUUUGUACUGAUAAGUGCAAAAGGCCUGAAAUAACCAACUGGGUCCGUCUCACCCAUGAAAUAAAACACAAGAAUAUUGUAACUUUUCAUGAAUGGUAUGAAACAAGCAAUCACCUCUGGCUAGUGGUGGAACUCUGCACAGGUGGUUCCUUAAAAACAGUUAUUGCUCAAGAUGAAAACCUCCCAGAAGAUGUUGUGAGAGAAUUUGGGAUUGACCUGAUUAGUGGAUUACAUCAUCUUCAUAAACUUGGCAUUCUCUUUUGUGACAUUUCUCCUAGGAAGAUACUCUUGGAAGGGCCUGGCACACUGAAGUUUAGCAACUUUUGCUUGGCAAAAGUGGAAGGUGAAAAUUUGGAAGAGUUCUUUGCUUUGGUGGCAGCAGAGGAAGGAGGAGGUGAUAGCGGGGAAAAUGUCCUGAAGAAAAGCAUGAAAAGUAGAGUCAAAGGUAUGUGGACCUGGAAAGCUUAAAGAUCAUAACUCUAGUUGUGGACCAUCCAAGUCCUGUGUUUAGGAGACAAUGUCAGUCUUUUGUUUUGCC